UAGAUUGUGCUUUUUUAUUCA
rnacentral:piRNA from 1 species